AUUGAACGCUGGCGGCAUGCUUUACACAUGCAAGUCGAACGGCAGCACAAACUUCGGUUUGGUGGCGAGUGGCGAACGGGUGAGUAAUGCAUCGGAACGUGUUCUGAAGUGGGGGAUAACGCAUCGAAAGAUGCGCUAAUACCGCAUAAUCUCUGAGGAGAAAAGUGGGGGAUCGAAAGACCUCAUGCUUUUGGAGCGGCCGAUGUCUGAUUAGCUAGUUGGUGGGGUAAUGGCCUACCAAGGCGACGAUCAGUAGUUGGUCUGAGAGGAUGGCCAGCCACACUGGGACUGAGACACGGCCCAGACUCCUACGGGAGGCAGCAGUGGGGAAUUUUGGACAAUGGGCGCAAGCCUGAUCCAGCAAUGCCGCGUGAGUGAAGAAGGCCUUCGGUUGUAAGACUCUUUCUACGUUGUAGAAGAAAAAUUAGUAGACGUAAUAAUACGUAAUUAC
rnacentral:rRNA from 1 species